CGCAACUUAAAAUAUUCUUAAUUAGUAAACUAAAAAUGAAAGGAAGAUGAUCAAACACAAAUGUCCCCUGAGAGUGAAAAUGAAAGUUUAAUAACUGUAGGGCAGGCAGUCAAUCCUGCUCUCUUUCUCUCUGACUCUUUUGUUAUUCGGGGGGAAUUCCACAAGUGCACUUGCUCAUCGCCACCACAGAACGGAUCCAGUAACAGGAGAGCGGUCACUGUUGCAGGUGCCUCUUCCACUCGGGGCAUAGGAAUCCGGUGGCAGACCUCACACAAGAGCAGACGGAGUCAACAGUGGCGCCACACUGCGACGAGAUCACAGGCUUGGUCGCUCGACUCAUGCUACGGUCAUUUCCCUCAACUCACAGGAAUGCGAGUGAUGUCCACUCCUCUACUCUUUCUUCGCUGACCCUUCACCCAGUCCAGCAUCCUAUCCUCCUUCACAAAUGAGGUAAUGGCGGCGAGCUGCUUCUGUACUGCUGCUCCUGCGUCAUCGCUCACUUCCCCUCCCGUCCACCGUCGGAUGUAAACACACGCAGUCACAUGGGAGCAGUACAUCAUGACCACACACACCCCACAGCGGAAUCGCAGGUUUCACAGCUGAGCAUGAAUCACACACACU